rnacentral:rRNA from 1 species
CAGCACGGGUGCUUGCACCUGGUGGCGAGUGGCGAACGGGUGAGUAAUAUAUCGGAACAUACCCUAGAGUGGGGGAUAACGUAGCGAAAGUUACGCUAAUACCGCAUACGAACUAAGGUUGAAAGUGGGGGAUCGCAAGACCUCAUGCUCAUGGAGUGGCCGAUAUCUGAUUAGCUAGUUGGUGAGGUAAAGGCUCACCAAGGCGACGAUCAGUAGCUGGUUUGAGAGAACGACCAGCCACACUGGAACUGAGACACGGUCCAGACUCCUACGGGAGGCAGCAGUGGGGAAUUUUGGACAAUGGGGGCAACCCUGAUCCAGCAAUGCCGCGUGAGUGAAGAAGGCCCUCGGGUUGUAAAGCUCUUUUGUCAGGGAAGAAACGGUCUACUCUAAUACAGUGGGCUAAUGACGGUACCUGAAGAAUAAGCACCGGCUAACUACGUGCCAGCAGCCGCGGUAAUACGUAGGGUGCAAGCGUUAAUCGGAAUUACUGGGCGUAAAGCGUGCGCAGGCGGUUUUAUAAGACAGAGGUGAAAUCCCCGGGCUCAACCUGGGAACUGCCUUUGUGACUGUAAGGCUAGAGUGUGUCAGAGGGGGGUAGAAUUCCACGUGUAGCAGUGAAAUGCGUAGAUAUGUGGAGGAAUACCGAUGGCGAAGGCAGCCCCCUGGGAUAACACUGACGCUCAUGCACGAAAGCGUGGGGAGCAAACAGGAUUAGAUACC